UACGGGGCCUCCUGAGCGUCAGGCACGGCGUGGGGCAGCCCGUAGGGGGCCUUGCGGUCGGGCGGGGUCGACGGUGCCGGGAGCGACCGGGCCGGAGGUACCGGGUGAGGCCUGAGGGGCUCGGGGAUUCCCGGCAGGGCUGUUUACCUGUGUGAGGUGUGUUGGUCCUGGUGGCUCCACUGGUGCCAUCCCUCGCUCUGGACUGGUCAGGGAAUUCCAGAAUUCCCAAAUUCCCGUCAGGAGGGACCUUCCAGCGCCAUUCCACCGCAGAUUUCAUGCAGCAUUUUUGGGUUUCCGUGUUGGUUUUUAUAAAUUCUGUGAAUUCCUGGAA